rnacentral:lncRNA from 1 species
CUGCAUUGAAAUUCACUACAAAGCCCUCCUUCUCAUCAUCUCGGAAGGAGAGCAAUGCAUCCAAUAAUAGCUUACUUUACUUGAUGUGUGGAAAUCGGAGCCAAUGGCCAAAUAGAGUCACAGCCACCUUGGUCUUUUGCUCUUCAGAUAUGGACUCCAUAAGUAUGUCCAUAACCUCGACGUAGUGACUGAAAUAGCACCUUUCAUUCAUC